AACGAACGCUGGCGGCAUGCCUAACACAUGCAAGUCGAACGAGACCUUCGGGUCUAGUGGCGCACGGGUGCGUAACGCGUGGGAACCUGCCCUUAGGUUCGGAAUAACUCCCCGAAAGGGGUGCUAAUACCGGAUAAUGUCUUCGGACCAAAGAUUUAUCGCCUUUGGAUGGGCCCGCGUUGGAUUAGCUAGUUGGUAGGGUAAAAGCCUACCAAGGCGACGAUCCAUAGCUGGUCUGAGAGGAUGAUCAGCCACACUGGGACUGAGACACGGCCCAGACUCCUACGGGAGGCAGCAGUGGGGAAUAUUGGAUAAUGGGCGAGAGCCUGAUCCAGCGAUGCCGCGUGAGUGAUGAAGGCCUUAGGGUUGUAAAGCUCUUUUACCCGGGAUGAUAAUGACAGUACCGGGAGAAUAAGCUCCGGCUAACUCCGUG
rnacentral:rRNA from 1 species